rnacentral:miRNA from 1 species
AAGAAGAUGAUCAACAGCAA